rnacentral:rRNA from 1 species
AACCUGGUUGAUCUUGCCAGUAGUCAUAUGCUUGUCUCAAAGAUUAAGCCAUGCAAGUGAAAGUAUAUGCAUAUUUAAUAUGUAGAAACUGCGAACGGCUCAUUAAAACAGUUAUAAUCUACUUGACAUUUUAUUAUAAGGAUACCUACGGAAAAGCUGUAGCUAAUACUUGUAAAAGUACAUUACUCCUCGGAGUAAAGUACGUAUUUGUUAAGACCCCCAAGAAAAAAUGAUAUUAAAGGAAUUAUAACAAAGAAGUUACACCA